GAUGAACGCUGGCGGCGUGCCUAAUACAUGCAAGUCGAGCGAAAAGACGAGGUUCUUGCUCCUCUGACGUUAGCGGCGGACGGGUGAGUAACACGUGGAUAACCUACCUAUUAGCCUGGGCUAACUUCGGGAAACCGGAGCUAAUACCGGAUAAUAUAUUGAACCGCAGGGUUCAGUAGUGAAAGACGGUUUUGCUUUUAGUUAUAGGUGGAUCCGCGCCGCAUUAGCUAGUUGGUAAGGGAACGGUUUACCAAGGCAACGAUGCGGAGCCGACCUGAGAGGGUGAUCGUCCACACUGGAACUGAGACACGGUCCCGACUCCUACUGGAGGCAGCAGUAGGGAAUCUUCCUCAUGGGGCGAAAGCCUGACGGUGCAACGCCGCGGGAGUGAUGAAGGUCUUCGGAUCCGAAAGCUCUGUUAUUAGCGAAGGACAAAUGUGUAAGUAACUAUGCACGUCUUGACGGUACCUAAACAGAAAGCCACGGCUAACUACGUG
rnacentral:rRNA from 1 species